rnacentral:rRNA from 1 species
UUCCGGUUGAUCCUGCGGACCCCACCGCUAUCGGGGUGGGACUAAGCCAUGCGAGUCGAGCGCCCCCGGGCUACGGCGGGGGAGCGGCGCACGGCUCAGUAAAACAUGGCUAACCUACCCUCAGGACGGGGAUAACUCCGGGAAACUGGAGCUAAUCCCCGAUAGGUGAGGAUGCCUGGAAUUGGUGCCUCACCGAAAGGGGCCUGAAACCAUGCCUUUCAGGCUCCGCCUGAGGAUGGGGCCAUGUCCGAUCAGGUUGUUGGCGGGGUAACGGCCCGCCAAGCCUGUAACCGGUACGGGCCGUGAGAGCGGGAGCCCGGAGAUGGGCCCUGAGACAAGGGCCCAGGCCCUACGGGGCGCAGCAGGCGCGAAACCUCCGCAAUGCGGGAAACCGUGACGGGGCCACCCCGAGUGCCACCCGCUGAGGGUGGCUUUUCCCCGGUCUAAACAGCCGGGGGAAUAAGGGGAGGGCAAGCCUGGUGUCAGCCGCCGCGGUAAUACCAGCUCCCCGAGUGGUGGGGACGAUUAUUGGGCCUAAAGCGCCCGUAGCCGGCCUGGUAAGUCCCCCGUUAAACCCGGCGGUCUAACCGUCGGACUGCGGGGGAUACUGCCAGGCUAGGGGGUGGGAGAGGCCGGCGGUACUCCCGGGGUAGGGGUGAAAUCCUAUAAUCCCGGGAGGACCACCAGUGGCGAAGGCGGCCGGCCAGAACACGCCCGACGGUGAGGGGCGAAAGCUGGGGGAGCGAACCGGAUUAGAUACCCGGGUAGUCCCAGCCGUAAACGAUGCGGGCUAGGUGUCGGAACGGUCUUAGAACCGUUCCGGUGCCGCAGGGAAGCCGUUAAGCCCGCCGCCUGGGGAGUACGGCCGCAAGGCUGAAACUUAAAGGAAUUGGCGGGGGGGCACCACAAGGGGUGAAGCCUGCGGUUUAAUUGGAGCAACGCCGGAAA